ACAGCGACCCUAACAAAAGCAUUGACUGGUUCUGCCUGCAGUAAGUGCUUUUUUUAAGGUAGCUUUU
rnacentral:pre_miRNA from 1 species